rnacentral:misc_RNA from 1 species
GUUUUUGCAAAAUAUUAGUUUUAAGCUAAAUAGCUAAAAUGUGUAAUUAUGUGAGAAUUGUUUGAUUUAGUGGGCCCAGGAGGGGCAUUGUGUAGGGGCAUUGUGUUGUUGUUGUGUUAUAAGCUUGAGGCUUUUGGAUUAAGAAGUAUUAGUUGGAUUGUUUUACCGGUUGAGUAGGUCCUAGGUACAGAGGAAACUUUGUUGGAUUUCUAGCAUAAAUUUAAGAUGUAUUUGACUCUUUAGUUCUUUGCUUUGAUUCAUUAUUGAUAAAUUCUUGAAAAUAAAUGUUUAGGUGAUCCGAGUCAAUUCUCCUCUUUUUU